GAUAAACGCUGGCGGCGCACAUAAGACAUGCAAGUCGAACGGACUUAACUUCAUUCUUUACGAUUGAAGAGCGGUUAGUGGCGGACUGGUGAGUAACACGUAAGCAACCUGCCUAUCAGAGGGGAAUAACAGCGAGAAAUCGUUGCUAAUACCGCAUAAGCUGAUAAUAUCGCAUGAUAUAGUCAGAAAAGGAGCAAUCCGCUGAUAGAUGGGCUUGCGUCUGAUUAGCUAGUUGGUGGGGUAAUGGCCUACCAAGGCGACGAUCAGUAGCCGAGCUGAGCGGCUCAACGGCCACAUUGGGACUGAGAUACGGCCCAGACUCCUACGGGAGGCAGCAGUCGGGAAUAUUGCGCAAUGGAGGAAACUCUGACGCAGUGACGCCGCGUAUAGGAUGAAGGUUUUCGGAUCGUAAACUUCUAUCAACAGGGAAGAAAAAAAUAGACGGUACCUGAAUAAGAAGACCCCGGCUAACUACGUGCCAG
rnacentral:rRNA from 1 species